ensembl:rRNA 5S_rRNA 5S ribosomal RNA
GCUUACGGCCAUACCAGCCUGAAAGCGCCCGAUCUCGUCAGAUCUCGGAAGCUAAGCAAGGUCGGGCCUGGUUAGUACUUGGAUGGGAGACUUCCUGGGAAUACCAGGUGCUGUAAGCA